CCAUUGGUGGUUCAGUGGUAGAAUCCUCCCCUUCCAUGCAGGACACCUUGGUUUGAUUCCAGGCCAAUGCA
rnacentral:tRNA from 1 species